rnacentral:rRNA from 1 species
AUGGUGCAGUCGGUUGGUUAUUUUCUAUGGAUGCACAUCAGACAGCCAUUGAUUGUAACCGGUCACGAAUCUGGUGAUGUUCAGAUUUGGAACUAUGAGACACAGCAGCAGAAAGUGGUCGCUUCGAUUAAGGUCUCAAAGAUACUAGUAUCCAUUGUUAAAUUUAUUGCACGAAAGCGGUGGAUUAUGGUUGUGUCAGAUGAUUGUUUACUCCAUGUGUACAAGUAUGAAAAGGAACUGGAAAAGGUCACGAGUUUCAAAGCCCAUGAUUCUCUUGCGAGGGCACGGUGUUUAUUAGAUGUUCAUCCGACCCAGCCGUAUGUGCUGUCAGGAUGUCGUGAGAAAAUAAAGCUUUGGGACUGGGACCAGGACUGGAAUUGCAUACAGACAUUUGAAGAACACUCAGAUGAUAUUAAAGAACUAAAAUUUAACCCAGAGGACACCAACAGUUUUGCAAGUGCUUCAUUGGAUUGUACAGUAAAGGUUCGGAGUCUUGAUUCUCCCAAAUCCAAGUAUACCCUGUCUGGGCAUUCGGAUUUGGUGUACAGCGUGGAUUUCUUCACACGCGAUGGUCAGCAGUAUUUGAUUAGCGGCUCUCGUGACAAGACUGCCAAGAUAUGCGACUUGCAGAAGAAGUGUGUUCAUACACUGGAACAUGAGUGUCACGUCUAUUCCGUCUUUGCCCAUCCCAGUCUUCCAGUUCUAAUUACAGGUGCUUAUGAUGCUCUUCGUGUGUGGAGCUCCACUGAUUUCAGGCUGAAGAAAAAGCUUGAGGUCGAUUGGCCGGUUUAUGGUCUCGCAUGUUUGAUGGGGUCAGAAAGGGUUGCAGUUGCACAAUUUUAUGCAGUGUUAGUGAUGAAAAUUGGUGAUGAAGAAGGACAAGGUGGUUGUGAAGGCAGCAGCAACGAGAAUUCCGUAGCAGCUAUAGAUUCUUAG